GACGAACGCUGGCGGCGUGCUUAACACAUGCAAGUCGAACGGUGAACGAGGGAGCUUGCUCCCUCCGGAUCAGUGGCGAACGGUUGAGUAACACGUGAGCAAUCUGCCCCGAACUCUGGGAUAAGCGUUGGAAACGACGUCUAAUACCGGAUACGACGCGGGAGGGCAUCCUCUCCGCGUGGAAAGAACUUCGGUUCGGGAUGAGCUCGCGGCCUAUCAGCUUGUUGGUGAGGUAACGGCUCACCAAGGCGACGACGGGUAGCCGGCCUGAGAGGGUGACCGGCCACACUGGGACUGAGACACGGCCCAGACUCCUACGGGAGGCAGCAGUGGGGAAUAUUGCACAAUGGGCGCAAGCCUGAUGCAGCAACGCCGCGUGAGGGACGACGGCCUUCGGGUUGUAAACCUCUUUUAGCAGGGAAGAAGCGAAAGUGACGGUACCUGCAGAAAAAGCACCGGCUAACUACGUG
rnacentral:rRNA from 1 species